CCGAGGCCCCGCCCUCUGGCUGACUCGGAGCAGCCCAGCCAGGCAGCGGGCAACCAGGAAGGAACAAGGCAGACCCCCUGGCUUUGAGCAGAGAACAGGAGGCCCUCCGGAGAGGCCGGCGGUCCACGAGGGCGACUGUGAAACCAGGGACCCUGAGGAGACUUCUCUCCUUCACCUGAACUCUACGAGGAGAUGGAGCCUGGGUGCCAGGAGAGACCCCUGUGCCCGUCCCUCUCCUCCGGGAGCCCAGACGAAUGUGGGAUGUCUCUGAACGUCCUCCGGGAGGAGCCCCAUCUCAGAGCUGCUCCUCAGGGCCCGAGCCGAAGGACCGGGAUGCGGGGCUGGAGAGACAGGCCAUCCACGAACAGACAAAGGGGGGGCACCAAGCUCCACGAGAGGCAGGCCUGCGGCCCCAGGGAGACAACGGUGCCCUGGGACCAGGUGCCAAUGGAACGUGAGUGAUGCCAGCAGCUGCCAGGGGCCACUUUACAAAGGACGAGGGGAGCUGGGGCCAUAGGGCUGGAUGGUUGUUCCCAACACUGGGUAAUUUAAAGCAAGGAAAUGAUAGGCUCGAAUCAAAAUGUUCGCCUCAAGGCACAGAAUAAAAUUCAAGGCCAUUAUAUGAAAGAAUCUUUU
rnacentral:lncRNA from 1 species